GGGGAGACCCUACCUGCCCAGAGGCCUCUGAGUCUCUGACCCACAGCACCCCACAGGCCUGGCAUGCUUUCUCCAGGGCUGGACCCUUUCCCCGGACUGCCCUGAGGAAGGCAAAAGUGUGGACCCCUGUGUGGGGGUCAGUGGGCUGGGAUAGUGGUUAGAGAUUAAAAACUCUUUACGGUUGAUGAGAAAGAACCUUCAGGAAACUCUUUCACACUGGACUCUGCAGCUAGCAGAACUGGGGCAAAGGUGGAAACCCCAGUAGGGGAAAGAGCCAGCAGGCUGUGCAGCUGCCUCAGCGAGGAUUCACCACCUCAGGGACUUGUUCUCUUUCCUCUGCACACCUAAGAAGCAGUUUUCUGUUCCUUUCCUCCCACCUUUUACUUUUUGCUGCCUCCUCCAUUUCCUCCCAUUCUCUCCCUAAAAACCUGCUGUUUCGCUCAGCCAAACCUUCUCAGCAGAAAGGUGGCCUUGGGCAAAACUGAUUCAAGGAGUCCAGGUGGCAGCACUGAGGAGUUGCUGCUUAUUGCCUCUGCUUUCCCUCUCCUAGCACAGGGGCACCCUGGCCCAUUCAGGGGGCUCCCGUGCCCACACUUGUCACCUACAUGCCUUAAUCUUUUGUUGCUUGGGGGGUGGCCUGGGGUGUUCCUGGGCCAGCUCCUCCGCGUAUCUCCCUUAACUCAGAGUUAACUCAGCCACUGGCCCUGGCCGACUUGACUUGCUGAUGCCUCACUUGGUGUCCAGAAAAGACUGAAGGAAGAGGUGCGAGGCUCAAGUUAGGGACAUUUAGCCUUUCCUCUUUUUUUUUGAAAGCCAAAGACCCAGCUUGAAUUCUGCUGCUGCAUUUGUGGUUAUAACAUUGUUUCCUAGGUACUGGGCAUGUGCCUGUCUGAGCCCCAGGCCUGUCUGUCUACAGCCCACCAUUCACUCUGUCUCUCCCUGGGCACCUGCUGACGGGAUCUCCAGACGGUGCCCUAUUGGCUUCUAGGAUUAGGCCCAUCGCUAUUCUCUCCUGAAAUGAAAUGCAGUUUAAGAAUGGCUGAAGGUUGCAGGGGGCAGGUAGCUUAAUGGAUGAUCUUUUUUUGUUUGUUUUCUUAUUUGUUUCUGUUUUAGAAAUGGAGGUUUUAAAUGAUCAUUUAAACUCUUUUCCAAAUAAAUGUUUACCUUCCCCCCCCUGCUGUUGGUCAUUUUAUAAGGACUCCGAAGGACAUGGCGGAAAAUGAGGUAGAGAGAGGGAGAGAGGGAUCCUGGGAUGGGGUGUCAAGCCCUAAACCCAGACGAGAAAAAGGCGCUGGAGUCUCCCUGUGAUCCCUGAGGCAGACUCCCACUGCUCUGAGGCCUGGGCAGGGCUGCAGGGCUGGAGCGAAGCCUCCUGCCCGGACUUUGUGGCGGUGCAGCUCUCUCUCCAUCCUGUCACGCUAGAGGAUAGCUCUUUCAGCUGCUUUCAUUCUCGUUCCGUCUGCUGCCGCCGCCGUACCUUUCCUCCUCCGCCCCUACCCCACCCCCUGCCCCAUCCACACUGCAUUUCAGGAGCGUCUGUGUGGAAAGUGGGAUGAGAAGUGUUUUCCUGGUCAGAGAAAGCUAUGGCAGCCGCAUGAGGCAUGGUACGUGUGGCAGAUGUCUCUUGCUGAGCGUCUAUUUUUGAUCGUCUCUUUUGCAUUCUGAAGCCAGGGCUGAGCUGUGCGCCAUCUGUUGCUGGAAAGGUUUCUCUUCCUUCCCUGGGCCUCGCUCUGCUGGCUCUUUUGUCGUCCUCCAGCUUCCUUAAGCGUCAAGUCCACCCAGCCCCGAUGCCCAUCCGUGGGAAGCUCUGAAAACGGGUGGUUUUCUGCCUUACCUGAACAGACCCCAGACCCCACACCUCGGAGUCAGUGUCUGAGAAUCUGAGUGAUUUAAGCUUCUGUUGAAGCACCUGGGUUGGGAUUCAGUGGAAAGAAGAGGCCUGGUAUCAGGAACACCGUUUGUCACCUUGGCCGGCCACUUGGUGACUGGCUGGAUUUGAAUGAGCCUGUCUGUCAGUAACAACACUGCCUCUCUUUAAUGGUGUGCAGUCCAAGACGUCUGUGGAUUCCGAUGGACUGCCUCCCUUCUCAGUUGCCAUGCGUCACCACCACGUUACUGAAAAUGAGGAAGUUUCGCUGUGUGCUAAACUGCACUUCUAGUUAGGACUUUGUGGGCUUGGCUGGGAUAAGAGGUAGGAAAUAUUCAACUUCCUCUGGUCAGUCUAGGUUUUACUCUCUGACUGAAUGAAAGGCGAGCAGGCAAGUGGGGAGGAAGGGUUAAAGGUGAAAAAUGCUGCCGUGGCUAAAAGCUGUCUCUGUGCAAGCUGCUUGCGACUGUGUGGGCUCGUCUUAAACAAGGGAAGAGGUCCGAGCUGGAGCAAUGAUGCAGAGGAAGAGGUCACAGAUGGAACCAGACGUGUUUUCCAAAGCUGUGGCUUUAACCACCAUAGUUUCUGCACUGGCGACUGUGAUGAGAAGGGACUUCAGAUGGCUGUUGCUAUGGUUUCCUGAAAUAAUCUCAUCUCCCAGGAGAACAUUCACCCUUCCCCCUGUUCCCACUGGGGACUAGGACAGGAAGAGCAGGGCUCUGGAAUGCAUCCUGGGAGCAUCCUCUGGCCUCUGGGGACCAACCAAGCUGGCUGUGUGAGGGAGAAGGGGUUCAUUCACGGCCAGCGGGAAAGAUCUCCCAGAUGAGGAUUAUAAUAACAAGAGCUGUGUGGCUCCAGCACUCUGAGGGGCGACCGUCUGGGAGCCCAGAACUUUCAUCCCACUGCAGGGGCUGCGAGGUUUCCUGUUGGCUGGUGUGGGGCCCUCCUCACCCCUUCUCCAGUUCUCCCCACCGAAGCUGACAGUGUCCGCCGGGGAGGGCUCCCGCCCCAGCUCCCAGAGGAAAGGAGAGGAGGUUUGCACGCUGUGGCUUCUGCCCAGCACAUACAACUGGAGCUGGAGAGACUUUAUUCAUUUCAGGGAACAAGUGAGAACAGGAAUGAGACGGAGUGUAAAAGUGAAAGAGGAGGCGCAAUACUGGCAUGAGAAGAAGAGGAAGGACAAAGUCUAGCACUACACUCAGCCCAGCACAAACUCCAGGGAUCAGGCAGUCCGCCAUCACCAGGCCUGGGGCCAAGCACACCCAGUUUCUCCCCUGGUCAGAAACUUAGGACUCGGGGGCACCAACGUGGGCCCAGAGGGCAAUACUGAUGGACCUGCAGCUAGCACCACGGCAGCCCUGCCUGGCCCCGGGCAGACCUCCCUGCUCCCACCCUGCUACUCCGGAGGGCCUCCCGGCCCCUCACAUGGGUGUCUCCCCGAGAACAAGGGAAGUGGGGAUGUCAACACAGUGGCGCUCGGACAACGCUGUCAGUUUGCAGGCCCAGCUGGAACUCCCUGCGCUCAGAGGCCAGAACAUGGGUCUACGGAUGCUGCUGCCGCUAAGCCAGAAAACCACGCAGGCAGGAGACCCAGGUGCACACAGGCCUCUGGGCAGGCUGCUGGCCGGAACUGGACCUGUCUCAGAGCCAGGAGGUCAAGUCCCAGCCGGAAGAGGUGGGGCAUGAGAUGACAAGGCCCGAAAGCAGACAUGGCCCCCUCCGGGCGCUCUGCUCCCCAGGACCCUGGCCUUAGGCUUCAUCGAACCUGGGCCUGGGGCUGGGGCUACUGCUCUCCCCACUUUGCCAGGCCCAGAAAGGAUGGCGUGGCUGGUGUGAUGGGUGAGGGUGACUGUGUGUGGAGGCCACAGGAAGGAGGACUGGCAGGUGGGUGACAGGCUCUCUGAACCCAGUUUCCCAGCAUUCUGACCUGGCACCAAGCCCAAGGAGCCAGGCUUUGGGAAGUAGUCACUCCCCACCCUGACCCACCUUGACCCUUCCUCAGCCAGCAGCCCCCUCCCCGGGGGGCAGAGGAGGCCACAGGGAACGCUGGAAGGCAGUCCCGCAUCAGGAGGAGACAGGCCCCUUCCCUCCCAGGAAGAGAGAUGAGGUGAUAAGGAGGAUGGUGACUAAGGCCCCGAAGUCCCUGCCUCUCUGCCUGCCCAGAAACGCUGCAGCCAGGCCAGCCCCAGGGAGGGGAGCCUGUGUAAACAUGCCCAGGAGGGGAGGAGGGGUUGCUACAUAUGAGAAACAGUUAAAAACAAAAAGCACCGCUGUAACCUGUGGUGGUCUCCACAGGCCCAAGGUCUCAGCCACGAAGGGGAGUGCUUGGGGGUUAUCAGUUUGGGGUGACCAGCCCGUGCCCUCAGACAGCAAUAGAGGUUAGGGCUUCAUUUGACUCCUUCUCCCCAGAUACUUGGGGAGGGAACCUGUAGGCUGGCACAUCCUUCUAGGCUGCUGACCACCGGCAGCUUCCCCGUGUUACCCUGACCCGCGCUCCCAGCUCCCACUUACGUCUCUUCCUUCGCGCCCUGUAUUCCGCAGGGGUGUCUGGGGCUGCUUCCCUGCUAAUGAGUGGCCUGCAUGAGGCACCCACAUCCAGACCCACAAAAGGCCUCGUUUGCAGCCUCAUGUCUCCCCAAAAUGAGCCAUCACUGCCUCAGGGAAACGGGGGAACAUGGGGACCACCCCCUACUCACUGAAAACGGAUGGGAUGGGAUGGUGAGUCAGGCGUCACAAUGGCCCUCGGAUUGGUCUGGCUGGGGUGCAGUCCAGGGGGCAGGUUAAGUACCUCCCCAGGGCCCAGCGACUCAUGAAGAACCCCAGGGACAGACCAGCUGGCCUCCCUUCUGGGCCUGGCUCUGGGCCAAGGGCUGCUGGUGUGAAGAGCUGCCAGCCCCUGGUGGCUUCCCUGAUGGGCGCUUGAUUAGCAAAGACAUCCUGUCUCCCUCCCUUUUUCUUUGCUUCCCAGGCACCAUCCAUCUCCCUGGCAGGCUGAGAACUGCACUCUCCACUCCACCACCUCUGGUGACAUGGCAACCACAGGGGUCCCUGGUGUGUUUCUGGUCUGCAGGGGAAGUGAGGAGGAUGAACACGGGGCCGCUGCCCAUUCUGGGAGCCUCAGCAGGGAAGC